UACGUAGGGGGCAAGCGUUGUCCGGAAUCAUUGGGCGUAAAGAGCGAGUAGGCGGCCCGGUAAGUCCGCUGUGAAAGUCCAGGGCUCAACCCUGGGAUGCCGGUGGAUACUGUCGGGCUCGAGUCCGGAAGAGGAGUGUGGAAUUCCUGGUGUAGCGGUGAAAUGCGCAGAUAUCAGGAGGAACACCAAUGGCGAAGGCAGCACUCUGGGACGUGACUGACGCUGAGACGCGAAAGCGUGGGGAGCGAACAGG
rnacentral:rRNA from 1 species